rnacentral:rRNA from 1 species
GACGAACGCUGGCGGCGUGCCUAACACAUGCAAGUUGAGCGACGAACCAGGGCUUGCCCUGGGGCAAAGCAGCGAACGGGUGAGUAACACGUGGGCAACCUGCCCCGAUGACUGGGACAACCCGGAGGAAACUCGGGCUAAUACCGGAUGUGGUGCGCGAUCACAAGAUCACGUACCAAAGGAAGCUUCGGCCUCCGCAUCGGGAGGGGCCCGCGGCCCAUUAGCUAGUUGGUGAGGUAACGGCUCACCAAGGCGACGAUGGGUAGCUGGUCUGAGAGGACGAUCAGCCACACUGGGACUGAGACACGGCCCAGACUCCUACGGGAGGCAGCAGUGGGGAAUCUUGCGCAAUGCGCGAAAGCGUGACGCAGCAACGCCGCGUGUGGGAAGACGGCCUUCGGGUUGUAAACCACUUUCAGGGGGGACGAAGGCCGGGCAGUUAAUAGCUGUCCCGGUUGACGGUACCCCCCAGAAGCAGCCCCGGCUAACUACGUGCCAGCAGCCGCGGUAAUACGUAGGGGGCAAGCGUUGUCCGGAAUCAUUGGGCGUAAAGCGCACGUAGGCGGCCCGAUCAGUCCGCUGUGAAAGUCAAGGGCUCAACCCUUGAAUGCCGGUGGAUACUGUCGGGCUAGAGUCCGGAAGAGGCGAGUGGAAUUCCUGGUGUAGCGGUGGAAUGCGCAGAUAUCAGGAGGAACACCAUAGCGAAGGCAGGCUCGCUGGGGACGGUACUGACGCUAACGGUGCGAAAGCGUGGGGAGCGAACAGGAUUAGAUACCC